rnacentral:rRNA from 1 species
CCUACGGGUGGCAGCAGUGGGGAAUAUUGCACAAUGGGGGAAACCCUGAUGCAGCGACGUCGCGUGAGUGAAGAAGUAUCUCGGUAUGUAAAGCUCUAUCAGCAGGGAAGAAAAUGACGGUACCUGAUUAAGAAGCCCCGGCUAACUACGAGCCAGCAGCCGUGGGAAUACGUAGGGGGCAAGCGUUAUCCGGAUUUACUGGGUGUAAAGGGAGCGUAGACGGGAGGACAAGUCAGGAGUGAAAUGCCGGGGCUUAACCCCGGAACUGCAUUGGAAACUGGGCAGCUAGAGUGCAGGAGAGGUAGGUGGAAUUCGUGGUGUAGCGGUGAAAUGCGUAGAUAUUAGGAAGAACACCGAUGGCGAAGGCGGCUUACUGGACUGUAACUGACGUUGAGGCUCGAAAGCGUGGGGAGCAAACAGGAUUAGAUACCCGGGUAGUC